rnacentral:rRNA from 1 species
UACGUAGGGGGCUAGCGUUGUCCGGAAUCAUUGGGCGUAAAGAGCGUGUAGGCGGCCCGGUAAGUCCGCUGUAAAAGUCAAAGGCUCAACCUUUGAAUGUCAGUGGAUACUGCCGGGCUAGAGUCCGGAAGAGGCGAGUGGAACUCCUGGUGUAGCGGUGGAAUGCGCAGAUAUCAGGAAGAACACCAACGGCGAAAGCACUCUGCUGGGCCGACACUGACACUGAGAGACGAAAGCUAGGGGAGCGAAUGGG